rnacentral:rRNA from 1 species
AUUGAACGCUGGCGGCAGGCUUAACACAUGCAAGUCGAACGGUAACAGAAAGCAGUUUACUGCUUUGCUGACGAGUGGCGAACGGGUGAGUAAUACCUGGGAAACUGCCUAAUGGAGGGGGAUAACUACUGGAAACGGUAGCUAAUACCGCAUAACGUUGCAAAACCAAAAAGGGGGGACCUUUGGGCCUCUUGCCRUUAGAUGUGCCCAGGCGAGAUUAGCUAGUAGGUGAGGUAAUAGCUCACCUAGGCGACGAUCUCUAGCUGGUCUGAGAGGAUGACCAGCCACACUGGAACUGAGACACGGUCCAGACUCCUACGGGAGGCAGCAGUGGGGAAUAUUGCACAAUGGGCGCAAGCCUGAUGCAGCCAUGCCGCGUGUAUGAAGAAGGCCUUCGGGUUGUAAAGUACUUUCAGCAGGGAAGAAAAUAUUAUGAUUAAUAAUCAUAAUACUUGACGUUACCUGCAGAAGAAGCACCGGCUAACUCUGUGCCAGCAGCCGCGGUAAUACGGAGGGUGCGAGCGUUAAUCGGAAUUACUGGGCGUAAAGCGCACGUAGGCGGUUUAUCAAGUCGGAUGUGAAAUCCCUGGGCUCAACCUAGGAACUGCAUCCGAAACUGGUAGGCUUGAGUCUUGUAGAGGGGGGUGAAAUUCCAGGUGUAGCGGUGAAAUGUGUAGAUAUCUGGAGGAAUACCAGUGGCGAAGGCGACCCCCUGGACAAAGACUGACGCUCAGGUGCGAAAGCGUGGGGAGCAAACAGGAUUAGAUACCCUGGUAGUCCACGCCGUAAACGAUGUCGACUUGGAGGUUGUGCUUUUAAAGCAUGGCUUCCGAAGCUAACGCGUUAAGUCGACCGCCUGGGGAGUACAACCGCAAGGUUA